rnacentral:rRNA from 1 species
UACGGAGGGUGCAAGCGUUAUCCGGAUUUACUGGGUUUAAAGGGUGCGUAGGUGGGUUGGGAAGUCAGUGGUGAAAUACUUUCGCUUAACGAAGGAACUGCCAUUGAUACUAUCAAUCUUGAAUGUAGUGGAGGUAGGCGGAAUGCGUCAUGUGAGCGGUGAAAUGCUUAGAUAGUGACGCAGAACACCAAUUGCGAAGGC